AUGUUCAGUCUCAGUGGGAACC
rnacentral:miRNA from 1 species